rnacentral:rRNA from 1 species
UACGAAGGGGGCUAGCGUUGCUCGGAAUUACUGGGCGUAAAGCGCACGUAGGCGGCUUUGUAAGUUAGAGGUGAAAGCCUGGAGCUCAACUCCAGAAUUGCCUUUAAGACUGCAUCGCUUGAAUCAUGGAGAGGCGGGUGGAAUUCCGAGUGUAGAGGUGAAAUUCGUAGAUAUUCGGAAGAACACCAGUGGCGAAGGCGGCCCGCCUGGACAUGUAUUGACGCUGAGGUGGCGAAAGC